rnacentral:rRNA from 1 species
UACGUAGGGGGCAAGCGUUGUCCGGAAUCAUUGGGCGUAAAGAGCGUGUAGGCGGCCCGGUAAGUCUGGUGUGAAAUCUUGGGGCUCAACCCCAAGCUGUCACUGGAUACUGUCGGGCUUGAGUACGGAAGAGGCGAGUGGAAUUCCUGGUGUAGCGGUGAAAUGCGCAGAUAUCAGGAGGAACACCAAUUGCGAAGGCAGCUCGCUGGGACGUUACUGACGCUGAGACGCGAAAGCGUGGGGAGCAAACAGG